rnacentral:rRNA from 4 species
GGGUUGUGAGGUUAAGCGACUAAGCGUACACGGUGGAUGCCCUGGCAGUCAGAGGCGAUGAAGGGCGUGCUAAUCUGCGAUAAGCGCCGGUAAGGUGAUAUGAACCGUUAUAACCGGCGAUACCCGAAUGGGGAAACCCAGUGUGACUCGUCACACUAUCAUUAACUGAAUCCAUAGGUUAAUGAGGCGAACCGGGGGAACUGAAACAUCUAAGUACCCCGAGGAAAAGAAAUCAACCGAGAUUCCCCCAGUAGCGGCGAGCGAACGGGGAGGAGCCCAGAGCCUGAAUCAGCAUGUGUGUUAGUGGAAGCGUCUGGAAAGGCGCGCGAUACAGGGUGACAGCCCCGUACACAAAAGCGCAU